UGAAGCAAGUACUUUAAUACAAAGUGAAUUAUAAAAAAAAGCAGUGAAAUGUUGAAUCCAAUUAUGUGUACAGCAAAGAACAGGAACCUUCGGACCGGAAAACAGCAACCUUCGGAAGUUUGGCAACCAAUAAAUUCUAGGUGGAAGGCAGAUUGGCGGAAUCAGAAAGGAAUUGGGUGAUUUGGAUCAGAAAGAACUAACUGGUAAGUUUUAUUUAAAAAUUAAUUAAUUCGCCAUUUUUCAAUUUUUUGUUUUAUUUCGUCUCUACUUUUUAAUUAUUAAACUUGAACGCAAGCAAAUGUUUAUGUUACAAUUUGUAAACUUUCCCUGAUUCACGUAUUUCACUU